AGCGUUGAUACCAACGAAUAUGGAAAAGGGCUUUGGAUGACACUACUUCAACCCGUUCCAUUCAUUAAUACUAUCAGGCUGUUGGCAAAACAGACCGGAUGGUUCGUUACCACAACAACAAAGUAUUAUCAUAAUGUUCUUCAUCAGAGGUGGUAGAAAUCAGUAUUUUUAGAUUAAAGCAGAGUGUUCUAACGACCGCACUUCAGACUUGUCAACCUGUAUUUCGUGGACCACAGCUUUAAGUCUGAUAGCGAUACCGAAAACAGACGAGAAAUGCCCCUGUCGUUCCUGGAAAAAGCCGUGUUCAUAUCCACUUUUCCAAUUGUUGGUCGUGUGAAGCCACCUAAAGAUCAGAAGAAUUUCCCUAUGUGUAUUGAACAACAUCUACUCAUUAACAACGACAAUGUUAUUCCAGUUAGGCUUUUCAGGUAAUCGAAUACCCUAACUGUUAGGAGUUUAGUGGAAGCAUUACAAGCCAUCACGCGACCCUCGGAUUUUCAUCCGCUGCAAUCGGCCACCGCAGGCCGAGAUGGCGUACAAUAUUUUCAUCGUGACGUGCGACAACAGUGCGGAGCAUAAUAUAUUCAUAUCAACGCCCUGUUCAGCUUUGGGAGCUAUUCGUUACUCUCCGACUUUUAUAGGACUGUCUAUAUUACUAUGUCCGGUGCUCAUCGGUUGAAGGAAGACAUCAGUUGAUAGCGAGAUGUACUGCCCGCUUCGGACAGCUGAUUACCUAUCACAUGAACUGUGCCAUUGUUGAAAGCGUACGAGUGCACGUACCCAUUACCUGCCUAGUAUUGGGCCUUGUAUUGUCUGUGGGUUAAUGAGCUGUUGGUAUAGUAUGUACUCUGUACUCUACUCAACUAUACUGAAGAAUCAUACGGCAAAAAAAUGAGUUAUGUCAAUUGUAUUUGUUAUAAAUGUAAAUAGAUACGUUACUUUAACCGUACUUACAACACAAGUAGAACUUAUCGAUGUCAGUUUCUCUUCUUUUGAUCGAAAUUUGCG